GUUAGAGUGGAGGGACGGCAGGUAGCCUAGUGGUUAGAGUGGAGGGACGGCAGGUAGUCUAGUGGUUAGAGUGGAGGGACGGCAGGUAGUCUAGUGGUUAGAGUGGAGGGACGGCAGGUAGUCUAGUGGUUAGAGUGUAGGGACGGCAGGUAGUCUAGUGGUUAGAGUGGAGGGACGGCAGGUAGUCUAGUGGUUAGAGUGUAGGGACGGCAGGUAGUCUAGUGGUUAGAGUGGAGGGACGGCAGGUAGUCUAGUGGUUAGAGUGUAGGGACGGCAGGUAGUCUAGUGGUUAGAGUGGAGGGACGGCAGGUAGUCUAGUGGUUAGAGUGGAGGGACGGCAGGUAGUCUAGUGGUUAGAGUGUAGGGACGGCAGGUAGUCUAGUGGUUAGAGUGUAGGGACGGCAGGUAGUCUAGUGGUUAGAGUGUAGGGACGGCAGGUAGUCUAGUGGUUAGAGUGGAGGGACGGCAGGUAGUCUAGUGGUUAGAGUGUAGGGACGGCAGGUAGUCUAGUGGUUAGAGUGGAGGGACGGCAGGUAGUCUAGUGGUUAGAGUGUAGGGACGGCAGGUAGUCUAGUGGUUAGAGUGGAGGGACGGCAGGUAGUCUAGUGGUUAGAGUGGAGGGACGGCAGGUAGUCUAGUGGUUAGAGUGUAGGGACGGCAGGUAGUCUAGUGGUUAGAGUGGAGGGACGGCAGGUAGUCUAGUGGUUAGAGUGUAGGGACGGCAGGUAGUCUAGUGGUUAGAGUGUAGGGACGGCAGGUAGUCUAGUGGUUAGAGUGGAGGGACGGCAGGUAGUCUAGUGGUUAGAGUGGAGGGACGGCAGGUAGUCUAGUGGUUAGAGUGGAGGGACGGCAGGUAGUCUAGUGGUUAGAGUGGAGGGACGGCAGGUAGUCUAGUGGUUAGAGUGUAGGGACGGCAGGUAGUCUAGUGGUUAGAGUGGAGGGACGGCAGGUAGCCUAGUGGUUAGAGUGGAGGGACGGCAGGUAGCCUAGUGGUUAGAGUGUAGGGACGGCAGGUAGCCUAGUGGUUAGAGUGGAGGGACGGCAGGUAGUCUAGUGGUUAGAGUGGAGGGACGGCAGGUAGUCUAGUGGUUAGAGUGGAGGGACGGCAGGUAGUCUAGUGGUUAGAG